rnacentral:lncRNA from 1 species
CAAGACUCAAAAAUUAGAUUUCUUUGACUCUCUCCUCCCCCCUCCUCACAUCCCUACCCUUAUCCCUCUCUUCCUUCACCUUAGCUUCUUACCCAUACUCUUCUACCAAAGGUACAAUCAUGGCUUCUUUGGAGUGUGGGAUUGGAUGAAUGAGCAUGGAGCUCGAGGCUAAUGAGAAGGAUUCUCCAACUAUAAAUAGAGGCUUAAUCUUCAUCAAUUCACCACACAAAUUUAGCCACAACCUCUCUCUUAUUCUUGGUUCAUAAGCACCACCACACACCACCAUAACUCCACCAUACUCCACAACCAUUUCCAUAUCUUUUGAUCAAAAUCACCACCCAACACCACCUCCAUCACAAUCCAAUUCCCUUCUCUCCUCCCCUCCAUUCAUCUUCGUCAAACAAAAGCAGAAAAACUGGCAGAAGGAGGCUACUGGCGUCCUCCUGCCACCACCAGACUUCCUCACUGUCACCCAUCCACCGCCACUGUUCUACUACUGCUGUUGCUGGUGAGUACUCCACCUCCAGCUUCGUUAUUAUUAUUUUUGUGUGUUGUGUCGAUCGCAAGUAGCCAUGACAAAGACCUGAUCAUUUUUUUGGUUUGCAUAAACUCGUCGAACAUAGGAGGUGAUCACCUCCUGCUCAAAUUUCAUUUUUAAAUAUUUAAAACCCACCACCUUCUUGAAAUCCCUUACAAAUCAAGUCCAAAGUCCUCAAACUUCAAUUUUAAAUAAUUAAAUUCCACCAUUCUUUGAAAUUGUCUUCCAAAAUAAGUCCAAAUUACCCAAACUCUCGUUUCAAUUUAAUUGCAAAUGCCCCUCUUUUGAAAUUCUUUACAACUGAGUCCAAAAGUCUCCAAAUUUCAUUUCAGAAUAAAUAAAACAACCCUUCUUUGAAAGUCUUCACAAAAUAAAUCCAAAACUCAAACUUAGGUUUAAAAUAAACCAUGUUAGUCCAUUCUAUGGUUUAUUUUUAACAAAAUCGGUCCCAUUUAAUUUAUUUAUUUUAACAACUCAACCCUAUAAUUUGGUUAAAUUACCAAACAACCCCCAACUUAUUAAUUUGAACCAAAAUUUCCCUUCAAUUUAUUAGGCAACUAAAUUAAUCUCGGUGGUUCGUUUUAGAAACGACACAUUUCGGUUUCUCACGUCAAACUCUUGAAACAAAUGAACAACUAUAUGUUAAGGUGAGUGUUACGGACCCUCUUUUAUAUUUUUAUAUGCUUUGGGGGAAAAUAUAUGUGCUAAAUUAUACAUGUUUAUACAAAAAUAUACAUAAAAUAUUAUUAUUUUUAGUAAAAACUAUAACUAGUUAGAGAAUAUUGGUUUGACAUUUAUAUGUUAUAAACACAUAAACUAGUUUCAAACGUCAAUAUUUCUGUAUGUUAUUUUGUUAAAAAUGAUACAACUAUAAAAAUAACAUAUGCCUAUUACUACAAAACUCUAUGAUUUUGUGUGACAUUGUAUGUCAUUAAUAUUAUGUCAUAGAGCUUUGUAGUAUUCAUAGGGAUUUAAACUAUACAUGUAUAUUUACAAAGUAUUUACAAGAAAGAUUCUUUGUUAUAAAAUCUAGUGUCUUAUACUAUACAUGCAUACCAGUCAUGCUCGGCUGAUAUAAACUCUAUACAAUACAUUAUGCCUAGCAACUUAUCCACUUACAAGUUAGGGCUGAGAGUUAUUCGUCUACCUUAGUUAAGAGAUUUUUAGUGAGACUAUAUUUAUUAGCUAAGUCUAAACACUUAGCAUACCCACACAACUAUAAUUGUUAAAUCUUCGGAUCAAGAUACAUAUGUAUAUAUCUAUAUGGGGUUGAUAUCCCCACCUGUGGUUGUUAUUUGCAACCUCGACCGAUCAAUCAAAGCAGGUGAUAACUAUUUACUAUCGUUACUACGAUUUUCAAUGAAGUGUUUUAGGGGGUACACUUAGUCACAUGACUCGAUUAUAGGACUCACUAUAAUCAUUAACUAGAAUUUCUCUCUUUUACUACAAACCAUGAGCUUGGUUGUUUUCAAAACUAUUUGAAGUAUGGAUAUACUUAUGAAAAGAGACACUUGGGUUUUCAAAGCUUAUUCAAAGAUCCUUUACAAACGCUAUUUUAAGUAUGGUUAUACUUACAAGACAAAAUUGCAAGAAUGGUCCACGUGGUAUGUCAAAACUAGCAACUUUGGUCCAAAAUGGGUUUGGCUCGCAAGGAUGGUCCAAUAGUUUCAUUUUGUUGCGAGUUUAGUCCAAUUUCCUAUGGACUUUUUUAUAAUUAUGGGUUUACCCCUUAUUAUUUUAUUUUCCAUUUUUCUUUUAUUACAACAAUUAAAAAAACAAUUAAAAAUAAAGCAAAAAUAAAAUCUCUCUCUCUCUCUCUAUAUAUAAACUCAAAAAAAAUAAUAAAAAAUGUAGCAUACAAGAACUCAUAAAAAAAUAUGAAUUUCCUAAAUCCUAAACUUGUAACCAUGAAAGAGAUCGAGUUCAGUGGUUUAGAAUGGAACCCCAAAUAUACACACAAAGAUACAAAGAUCUGCAUAUUUGGGAUGUGAGGCGGAGUAUCAAUCGUCAUUUGAACACGUGAAUUCUCUCAUUUUCAGUCUUCAAGAUCUGUUGGGUCGUCCAUCGUGUCUCUCCUCUAGCGACACCGUCUUCAAGAUCUAAUGAGCAUCAAGGGGAGACGACAAGAAAACUCUAAAUGUUCAGAUCUCGAUGAUGGUUAAGGAUUAUAAAUCUUCUUCUUCGACAUGAGGAUUUUCAUCUGGAACCCUAAACGACGGCUGAAACCCUAAAAACUAGAAGGGUGGCGGAUGAAACCCUAAAUACAAAAACACACGAAACUCUAGCGAGGCAGCAUCUCCGAUAUGUUUUAUCCUCCAUCAUUUCGUCUUCAGAUCUGACAAUGAUUUUUAGGGGCGAUGAAAUGAUUCAAGUUUAGGUUUAGGUUUCAUAGUAGAAAUCGAUUCAGGUGGUGGCGAAGGGUCUUGAAACACCGACAAGGGUUUCAGAUCGAUGGUGAAAGGGAUAAUCAGAAAAGGACAACUGUGGUGGUGCUCUUUCAGAUCUUCAUGGGGCUGCUAGGCAGCUGAUGAAUGCCAUCAAACAGAGAUACAUUGAUGAUGGCCACGAGUGGCCGUGACAUGGAUUAGAUAUCCAAAAAAAUCCCACCUUGGAAAUAUCCAUGGAGUUGAUUUUCAGAAACUCACCCCUCGUUAUUUUUCAGUAAUUUUCAGAAACAUCCAUGAAGUCGAUUUCCUAGGUUUUCAUCAUUGCUUUAUGGGUUUUUUAGAUCCAAGAACACCAUAAUCUGCUAUGCACAAACCCAUCUUGAUUAAGAAGGAAUAGAUGAAGAAGAUGAACUGUUCUUGGGUAAAAAGAAAAAUAAAUGUGGGGGAAUACGGUGGAGAGAGAGAGAGAGAGUGUGUGUGUGUAUUAUAUUAUUAAUUAUUUUUUAAUUGUUAUAAUAAAAAAAUGGAAAAUAAAAUAAUAAGGGGCAAAUCCAUCAUUAUAAAAAAAGUUCAUAGGAAAUUGGACCAAACUCGCAACAAAACGAAACUAUUGGACCAUCCUUGCGAGCUAAACCCAUUUUGGACCAAAGUUGCUAGUUUUGACAUACAUCGGGGACCAUUCUUGCAAUUUUUUCUACUUACAAAGAAAAUAUUUUUUGAACAUUUUUAAAAGUAUCAUACUACUGUUAGGAAAAAAACCUGUAACUCUCACCAACAUUGUGUUGACCCUCAAAACUACAUGUAUUCUCAGGGAAUUAGUAAUUCAAGAAUUCAGAAGACGGAUAAUCAUGGAUUUCAGGCGAUCUAGUUUACUAGUUUUUGUUAUGUAUACCUACCCGUUAUGCUAAUUAAUGUAUUAUUAUGAUUAUCUAUAAGAACCAUGUAUUCAAACUUAAAGAUGGAAUAUAAAUGUUGUUUUGUUUUUUGUUGUACUUGUGCUAUAUCUUCAAGUUACCUAUGAUACAUAAAUUUAGUCGCACAGCCGGACAUGUUCCAUCGCCUCGGCCGGGGGUGUAACAAAUUGGUAUCAAAGCUAAAUUGGCCACAGAGAACAUGUAUCCUCAAAAGAGGAAUACAAGUAUAGCAACAAGCUCCUAAUACAAGUAUUAUUAUUAAUCACAC